UAUGUAUGUGGCUUAUGUAUGGAUACAUGUAUGUAUAUGUUUGUGUGUAUGUGUAUAUAUAUAUAUAUAUGAGAUAAAGUUUGUGAAUUAAUUGAGGAGUAGCAGAGAAGCGGUUGGAAUAAAUAAGUGUAUACUUCCUCCUCCUUUUCAAACAUGUAAGAUUUAAUUUGUGAUGUUUAUGAGAAGUUAUUUAAUGAGUUGUGUUUAGGUUUAUUGUUCAUUUCAUUUUAUUGUUAAUUUGCUG